CCUAGAGGUCAUGUUGGCUUUGGAAGAGGCACGGCGCGCUAGCUGGAGAGGACAGAAGCAGCGUGCCUGGGAAUCGGCGUGGCGAGGAAGAGCGCGUUCUUUCUUUUUUUCCCUAGACGAUUGCAUACUGGAGACUAGGGUGGGAGCGCCACAGCAGCGGCGAAGGCGCAGGGCCAAUCUGGCAUGGAACCCAGCUCAGGAUCACAGUCUCUAGGAUAUGUUGCCUUUCCUCUUUUUUUAUAGGAAUGAGAAGAUAGUCGCCAAGGGACGAGCAUAGACAACGGGUGAUGUAUGAAGAAUAAAAGAAGCUUGCUUGUCCAACAGCAUGAAUAAACGAAGCUCAAGUCUCGCUCUAUAAGCACGAACUCGCGAGGAAAAAAAUGCAGGCAGCCAAGGAGCAAGGAACUCAGACAAAAGGAGAAUGAGCUUUAGUGGAGGCUGGGACGUGCCCAUGAAGGCCGGCUGACGGAGAAUGUCAAAGAGGCUUUUGCUCGAGCGAACACAAGAGCGUUCAAAAAGAUUGCUAGGAAGUUCUGAAGUUUAAUGUGGUUAUUAGCCACACAUAAA